CUGAGCAUCACCGCAAGCCCAUGGGGUGGGCCCUACAGGUUAUUUCGGAGGCCGGACCCACACAAUGGGUAAGAGGAGGGUCAUUGGGGCAGAGGCAGAAGAGCAGGAGAGAUGGAGGCAGAAGCUGACCCAAUUCGGGGGGCAGAGGCAGAGCUGGCUGAGGCAGGGGCAGAGACAGAUCAGGAGGGGAGGGGCAGCGGGGGCAGGGGGAGAAAGGCACCACCCACCUGGAGGAAGGAUGGGAAGGGGAGUGGGGCAAGGAGAGGGGAGGGAUGCAGAAGUGGGCCCUGGGCAGGAAGAUGGAGAGGCAGGGGCAGAGCUACGGUACAGGGGCAGGCAAAGCAGAGGGGAACCAGCCCGAGGCAGGAAAGCCCGGGGCAGACAGGGAGCCAAUUCCAGGGAGCCGAUCGAGGGGCAGGGCCAGAGGCCGGGCAGGGUGGGGGGGGCCGGAGGUGCAGAACUGGAGACAGGCAGAUUAAGAGAUGGACAAAGGCACAGCAGUGUGGAGGGGGAGGGGGGCGAGCCAGUAAAGGAAGUGGAAGGGGGGAAAGAGCCAAUGCAGGGAGGAUGGGAACAGAGGCAGUGCAGGAGGGACUUAGAGCAGGGGGAGGGGGAGGGAGCAAGAGGCAGAGGCAGGGCCAGUGCAGGAAGGAUGGAGACAGAGGCAGUGCAAAGUGGGGGCGGGGCGCAGCCCGUGCAGGGGGAGCUGCUGGGGCCAGGUCAGGGGGGGACCUGCAAAUCUAAGCCCGGGGCUGUCCAGGUAGGCACAGGAGGAGGGAUAGGCUGGAUGGGGAGAGCUGGGCACAGGCUGGUAAGGUACCAGCUUCCCCAUCCCGAAGUCCCCUGUUAAGCCCACCGUCUAUAUAAACACAAAGUUGGGCCUAGCUUCCAUCGGGGCUCUUUGGGGGAGAUCUCCAGGAUCUUCCUGGUCACACCUGGGCAGGUUAAAUGCUCCUUCUCCCUCUCCCCCUCCCUUCCCCACCUUGCAUCUCAGGUUUAUCACAUCUGGUGACAAGAAAAGCUGGAGUCUCCAGGAGUGAGCCUUGCCCUGAUGGAAGACAAACAAUAUGGGAAAGAGGACCUGGGAUCAAAUUUUAACUGAAAAGACCUGCAUGACACUGGAUAUUUCUCUUACCUGGUCUACCACAAUUCCUGAAAUCCCCACCUUACUAACUUUUCAAGGAAAAGGCAUUGAAGGUUAUUUAUACCUUCUGAAUCCAACUCUCCCUGUGCAACAAGAAAACUGUUCGGUUCUGCACACAUAUAUUGUAUCUAGAAUAUACUGUAACCUAUUCAACAUAUAAAGGACGGCUUGCCAUUUGGGGGAGGGGGUGGAGGGAGGGAGGGGAAAAAUCGGAACAGAAGUGAGUGCAAGGGAUAAUACUGUAAAAAAUUAUCCCGGCAUGGGUUCUGUCAAUAAAAAAGUUAUUAAAAAAAAGAAUAAACUAUGCUUCUAAACACCUUUGCUAAAGACUUAGUGUACUACUAGCUAGUUAAAAGUGGAAGCAUUUCAGUGAGUGUUCAUUCAGCACCUAUGUGUUAAAAGUAUAGUCCCACAGGGUUAUUCCUAGAACUCUGAGAAUAGUCAUGUAUUUGUGUAGAAAUACAAUUCUAUCAUUCACUUCACUCAAGAUACCAAUUUAAGUUUCUCAAGAAUUCUCUUCAUAUUUCUCCUCAAGAGUUAAAUUUGGUCUGUCAAGAAAUGUUAUUUUAGUCUACUUUUUUUCUUUUUUUAUCCUCUCUUCAGUCUUCCCCCAAAGCACUGUAAAUGUCAGUCCUUUGCAGUCUAUUCACAGUACAUAACAGGCUAUAUGCUAAGGUGUCUGGGACUUUUCUCCAUCUUCACUGAAAUUGCAUCAUAUAGAGAGCUGCAUAAAAGCAAGCCUGAUAAAACAGAAACGACCUCCUCUUCUACAGAUAUGGCACCCAGCAUCACCAGCUGGGACAAUUGGAGGACUUCAUCCAUUAUGUCCAAUUUAUCUUGUACAUUUCUUGUUUGCACGUUGUCUCCAACCUCCCAUUAGACAGUGAGCUCCUUGGACUGACUCUUGCCUUUCUUUGUAUCUUAGCACUUAGCAUAGUCCCUGAUAUGUAAAAGGCAAUUAAUAAACACUAAAUGAUUAACCCCCAAA